GACGAACGCUGGCGGCGUGCUUAACACAUGCAAGUCGAACGGAGUGGCGAACGCGUGAGUAACACGUGGGUGAACUGCCCUGCACUUCGGGAGAAGCCUGGGAAACUGGGUCUAAUACCGGAUAGUGUGGGAUGGGCACGCGGCCUAUCAGCUUGUUGGUGGGGUAAGGGCCGACCAAGGCGGCGACGGGUAGCCGGCCUGAGAGGGUGGACGGCCACAGUGGGGCUGCGACACGGCCCAGACGCGUACUGGAGGCAGCAGUGGGGAAUAUUGCACAAUGGGCGGAAGCCUGAUGCAGCGACGCCGCGUGGGGGAUGACGGCCUUCGGGUUGUAAACUCCUUUCACCAUCGACGCGGUAUCUAACCAGAAAGCCACGGCUAACUACGUGCCAGCAGCCGCGGUAAUAC
rnacentral:rRNA from 1 species